ACAUGAUGGCAUAUAUCACAUUGGUAGAUGUGCAGGUGAACGAGCCCCUGAUGGUCACACAGCCACUCUUCCCACCCUUUGCAUCGAGGGGAGUGUGUUGUUUUUGUUUUUAACAUACGGCCCUGAUAGGGUUUAUUUUAAUUAUUUGUAUUAGUUAAACAUAUCUGUUGCUACGUGUCCUGUUAGAGAAGGCAGGUCAAUGAAACACACCUUGCGACUGAAGCAGAAAAAUGGUCCUUGAUUCCAGGAGGAGUUCGUUGCGCGGUCUCGGACCACGCCUGGAGAGGGUUCUGUCCCGGCCCAGAUCAGCUUUACUCUGAGUUUAGCCAAGUAAACGCUGCGGAGUGGUGCAAUUCUAGCAGCCCAGGCCGGUAUUCGGGACCAUUUCCCUUCAGCAGCAGAAACCCUGAGUGCGUCAGAAGGCAGAGAAGGGACUUGGGUCUGGCACUUUAUGGCCCCAAAUCUUGUCCUCCCCACCUCCGGGCCACACCGUGCCUGCUGGUAGAAGGCAGUGGAGCUGGGGACGGGGGGUUCUGCUGUGCAGCUCACAGAGACUCUGUCUCGGAGGCCAAGCCUGGCCUCUCUGCAGCACAAGGAGCCCAUCUGCCCAGGCAUGUUGGGUGCCUCUUGCAGGGUGGGAAUCUAGCUCGUGGAUCGGGAUGGGAACGGGGCUCUUGCCAGUGUAGGUGGAGCAGCGGCUGGAGCCCAAAGCCCAUUUACUCCAGUUUUGCACCAGGAAGGCAGCCAGGGAGGAGGGAGUGGAAACGUGAGGGCUAAUAGUACAGCCAGGGCUCAGCUAGUGGGGCGAUGGGCCUCAGGCGAGGUCGGUCAGAGAUAGAAAGCAGCAGGCGGAUUUGUCACCGGAACGUUCCGUAGGAGGCCAAAUCUAGCCCUCCCUGGCAUGGAUGGUCAAGGCCCACAAGGCCUGAGGAGCUGCUGUUUCUGGUGCGGGGGCAGAACAACGCUGGGUGGGGAAGUUUUAGUGGAGGGACGUCACGUGGGAUCGGACAGCUGCUGCCCCCAGAUGUUCACCCACGUGAACAGCAGACGCACACGCCGUGGCUAGCGGCUCAGAUCACCCGCCCUCUGAGGAGGAGGGGGAGCUCCCCUGUGGCACCAGCCCCUCCAAGCGGUUUAACCUGAUGCGUUGAGCAGCGCCAAGGUGUAGACUCAGUGUAGACAAAACCCUGCUUUGAACCUGCCUUCUUCCCUCGGGGACAGGGUCUGGCAGCGCUGCCUGCACCUUGGCACCAGAGCACGAGGCGAUGUCUGGCUGUGGAGGGGCCCACGUGCCAGCUGCCAUCUCCGAGCAGCAGUUUCUCCUCCAACCCUCCACUAAUCUCCCUAGAUGCCCCUUGUCCCCCAAGAUUCUCCUUCCCAGGCUCUAUCCCCAAAUCCCUCUUCCAGACUCAGACUCACAGCCUGACUUCCCCGCUGCCCCUGACCCCUCCGGUAUCCUGGUCACCACAGGCUCCCCCGGCUGCCUCCCCUGACUCCAAAGUCUUCCUUGCUGUGGAAGGGGAGAGUCCAUGGGAAUCCGGUCACCCCUGCUGCUGUUUGGGGCACCCUGAGGUGGCUAUUUCUGAAGCAUCCCAUGUGGAGCUGGAUGAACUUGAGCAGCAAGUGGUUUUUGUUUUUUGAGGGGCGAGGGGAAUGUGCAGGUCUGGGGGAGAAACGGGAGAUUGUUUAUUGUCCAAGCAAGUGGGUGAGAUUUCUGGGGUCCUUGGCAAAGGGCCAAGGUGCAGCCCUUGGCAUCCCAAUUUUGGACACCCCUUGCGGUAAAGGGGGAAGUUAAGGCCCAGAUGAGAACUCAGAGUGAAACUCUAAUAGAGAGAGGAAAGGAGAGAGUGUGUGAGCGGGUGCACCACUGCUGUCGAUUGGAAAGAAUCAGAAUGGCUCAGCUGUGUGUCAUAAGCUCCAUACUGCAAACAGCGAAUGGGGAAUCUCCUUUAGCCCAAGGGGCGGGAACCUGUGCUUGUGGAGCAGGCAGUUCUGAGUUUUAUCCCUGCUUGCCCCGUGAAGCUCUGAGUGCAGACGAUGUGCGGCAGAGUGGCAGCUGCGAAGUCCUGAACUGAGCAUGGGUUUGUUAAAACCGUUACAGUCGCUCAUUCUUCCGAAAAAUUCCUUUCAUUUGUGGCACUUCCCCGGCUGGAGUGAGCCAGUGGUGACCCCUUGGGUCCCCCCUCAACUUGCCUCAAGGGGAGAGCAGAAGGAGUGGGAAGCAAUGAGAUGCAGAAGCAGCAUUUUGCUUUUUUCCUCAGGGAGAACCCCCUUACUCAGAUAUUCUGUAAGACGUGCCGGCCUCUCCUCUGAUGGCUGCAUGUUGGGUGAAGCGUCACACUCCAUUAGUAACUGUCUGGGACUGUCAGCUCAGGAGUGGAGCUGAAAGUUUGAGAAAACGGGAGCAUCGUGACCUGACACAGGUACAGCAUUUAGCUGGGGGGCACGAGGGUUGUUUUAUUAGUGAGGCUUCCUGUCCCGAAGUGGGAACAACUGGUGUAAAUAACGUACGUACUUAGAAUAACUUAGAAAAAUCUGAACGACUGCCUCCCUAUAAUCCCUGGAAAUACAUACAAAGUGCUCGGUCUAGAGGACAGGAAAGGCUGGGUGGUGAGACUGCAUUGUUGAAGCAGGUUGCACUCAACGGGAAUAACUCUAGUAGGAGCCUCUCCCAUUAGAGCGGGUCGAAGGCUGUUCUUGGGAAAAUGGGGUUUUGUUAAAAUUUUUCAAGAAAAGGUUGUGUGAAAAAAAAUUUUUUUGUUUAAAUUACAAAACAAAAAACAGAAAAAACGCCAGUUUUUCCUUUCAAAGCUGCGAGAAAAUGCCCCCUUUUUGGCUACCCCUCCUUUUCCCACUACAAAAUUAAGGGGGGGAAGUUAAAAAGUGAGAGAAAAUAACACCUUCGCACCUCAAAACUUGUAUUUUCUUUCCGCUUUUGGACAUCCCGCCUCUUUAGGUGAGAGAAAAUAACAAAAUAACACUGACUUUUUUCCUCCAGGAGGGGGAGCAAAAACGGGGUGUUUUUUUUUUUCCUUACCUAAAUGAACCAAAACACUUCAAACUGAAAUUUCACAAACCCCCAAAUUUGUGCAAAAAUUCUGAACAAAAAUAAAAUAUGCAAUUAAAAAUAAUUGAAGUAAAAGACUGGGUCCAGUUAGCUCUAUAUGGUAAUUAGGAAGCUAGAUUUGACCUUUAUGAUGGUGCUGGUACUGCCCCACCAUAACACCAUGCACUCCCAUGACCAUUAUUCAUGAGCUCACCUUUUUGUUCAGAGGGAAGGAUGAGUGCGUUUGGGACGCAGUCUCCUCGUCUAGGCCACGUUGUCCUGACGCUCGGCAGCGAUCGCAUGGAUUCCGUUUCUGAUCUCCAUUUCUCCCCACUUCUCAGCCGUCUGGGAUCACGAGCCUUUUAGAAGCAGGAAGCAGCAUCUUGGAUUUCUUCUAACCUGCCUAGAAUCCAGUGAAAGGAAAGGGUGUGGGGAAGGUAUGGAGCAGUGCUCAAUUUGUAAAGAAAGAGGCGCGGGGCUCAAGCAGUUUUUUUACUUUCAUAACUGAUGCAGCAGGGCCAGAGGUGCCGGAGCUAGGAACUGCUAAGGAGCCCCGGCACAAAUUAAGCACGGGCAUGGAGACACAGUAGGGCAUGGCCUACAUGGCUGCAGCUCCACUGGUGACCGCACAAGUAUAAACAAUGCUCAAGAGGCUGUUGGAUUUUCUAGCAGUCUCAUCUGAACUUGCCCUGAAUAGGGUUAGACAACCCAGGGUUAAAAUGUCAGCGGUUGGUGCAUACUAGUGCAAUCCCUGAUUGUGUUGCGGUGCUAGUGCAACCGUGGGAGAUCUGAAUAAAAAUGUCAGUGUAGGUACAGCCUAGGACUUGUGGUCUACCCAAGGCAAACCAAAUCAAGAGUAUCCUUCCCAGCUCACUGCAAAAAUCUCACGUGCGGGGGUUACUUGCAAUUGGUCAGUUAAAUCACAUGGUACUGAUUCAGUUUCCUGAUUGUGUAAGUGCACAAGCAAGCACUUCCCGGUGCCGGUAUUCGUAUGUGCAAAUUUAAAAUUUUAUUCCCGUGACGGAUCAUGCUAGUAAUGUUUGGUCGCUCAAAUGCUCCUGGAAAAAUUCACCCAGCUCUACCAACAAUGGGACAAAUCUCGAAGUCCUUACUUGGGUUUGUACUUAGCCAACUUCCCCUUAAAGGCAAUGAAGGUUUUGCCUCAAUAAAGACUUCAGGGUUUUGCCCAUUAUUUGGCAAGAGUAACAGAAGCAUCCUGCAGAAUGGGUUGGAUGGUGGGACAAAAAAUCAGAGACGGGACAUUGGAGUAGGUGGACAAUUGGCCAUAGGGUGACCAGAUAGCAAAUGUGAAAAAUCAGGACAAGGGGUGUGUGUGUGUGUGUGGGGGGGGUAAUAGGCGCCUAUAUAAGACAAAGCCCCAAAUUUUGGGACUGUCCCUAUAAAAUUGGGACAUCUGGUCACCCUCAUUGGCCAUUAUGUCAAUUCCUGCAUUGGCUUAACUGGCACGGAUUGAUUCUUGAACUUCCUCUAAAAACACGUGGGGCGGUGUCAUAGCUGAGACUGAUGGAACCCCCUUUUACUGUAGGCCUGCCCCAAACUGCAAGCAAGCAUGUCUUGUUUCAGCCUGUGGUGAGACGCUUCCACCCACUCCUCCUUGGAAAUAGUUUCCGAUAUUUGCACUAAGAGUUGAAUUUUGACACAUGAUCUCCAUCUGUAAAUGUCUUCAACUGUGCGUUGUGAUUGUACGUACCGUUUAGACCUUGGGAGUAUAGAUAGUGUAUAUAUAAUUAGAUAUAAAUAUAUUUAUAUAAACCUGUCAUAGAUGCAUGGGCAAGUUUCCAUUUCUGUGUUUCAGGAACGUUUUUCUGUGUGAGUAACCGAGGGCAGGAAUACGUUGUCUGAGUUGCUAAAGGUCACAUUUUGGUAAGGGGCUUUGUUGAUAUUUUCAAGUAAGUCAGCUCUGCCCUUUUCAAAUAAAUGUUAAUGUUGCUCUGUGA